rnacentral:ncRNA from 2 species
UGGAAUCGACACGGGAGUCCGGUGCGCCGGGCUGAGAGCGGGACGCGCCAGUCCCGGACCGUCGUACCUGAUCCGGGUCAUGCCGGCGAAGGGACGUCCUGUCCGCUCUCCU